ACGGGACAAGUUGAGUAGUAAUACGAUUCUGGUUUAGUGGCGCACGGGUGAGUAACACGUGAAUUACAUGCCCUUCAGUGGGGAAUAGCCCAGGGAAACUUGGAUUAAUACCCCAUGGUAUCGCAAGAUUAAAGGUGGCCAGCAAUGGCUGUCGCUGAAGGAUUGGUUCGCGCCCUAUCAGCUUGUUGGUGAGGUAACGGCUCACCAAGGCUACGACGGGUACCUGGUCUGAGAGGACGAUCAGGCACACUGGAACUGAGACACGGUCCAGACACCUACGGGUGGCAGCAGUCGAGAAUAAUUCACAAUGGGGGCAACCCUGAUGGUGCAACGCCGCGUGGAGGAUGACGGUCUUCGGAUUGUAAACUCCUGUCAUCCGGGAGAAAGACCUGGCAGUUAACAGCUGACAGGGUUGAUAGUACCGGAAGAGGAAGGGACGGCUAACUUCGUGCCAGCAGCCGCGGUAAUACGAAGGUCCCAAGCGUUGUUCGGAAUCACUGGGCGUAAAGGGAGCGUAGGCGGCGCGGUAAGUCGGAUGUGAAAAUCCCGGGGCUCAACCCCGGAACUGCAUCUGAUACUGCCGUGCUAGAGUAAUGGAGGGGUAGCUGGAAUUCUUGGUGUAGCAGUGAAAUGCGUAGAUAUCGAGAGGGAACACUCGUGGCGAAAGCGAGCUACUGGACAUUUACUGACGCUGAGGCUCGAAAGGCUAAGGGAGCGAAAGGGAUUAAAUACCCCUGUAGUCCUGGCAGUAAACGGUGCACG
rnacentral:rRNA from 1 species